ensembl:lncRNA
GCCACGUUGAGCACAGAACACUCUCCACCGCACAUCUGUAGAAGGAAAUGAGGACUGAGCUCUCAUGUCCCGCACAUAUCAUCCGCCUCAGGAAGUAGAGCCUCUGGUGAGCCUUCCUGAUCAGGCUGGAAGUGUUUUUCCAGAGAUUGUUUUUCCUGCACCAGUCCUCCAAGUGUUCCACCUCCUUCCUGUAGCCGGUCUCAUCAUUGUUUGUGAUGCAUCCAACCACUGCUGUGUCGUCCCCAAACUUCACAAAUGACAGCCUGGAUGGUUGGGUGAGCAGUCAUGUAAGCAGCAUGAACAGGAGGGGACUUAGCACACAGCCCUCAGGGGAGCCAGUGCUGAGGACUAUGGAAGAUGAGGAGACAUUGUGGAUCCUCACAGACUGCGAUCUGUUGGUCAGGAAGUCCAGGACGCAGUUACAAAGAGAGGAGCUCAGUCAAAGGAAGCAGAUGCACUCUCUAAGGGGAUGCUGUUUUGGGUAUAACAGGAGGAGAGAAGCUGCAGAGAGGUGUGCAAAACUGCAACGCUGCUUCCUGGUCCCAACUCUGGAUACUCUGGAUUUUAGAGGGUUUAUUAAAUUUGGCCAGAUUUCUACAAUGAGAGCUGUUCCACACAAAGUCAAGGGAUGACUUUACUCCUAACAAGACCAAUUUUGCCCCACAAAGUUUCCCACUAUUUAUAAAGCCCAAAUCAUUUUUUGGAAACCAUUCAAACAGUCAGCAUUUUAAGGAGAUUAUGCCGCUAAUCAUGACAUUCCUGGUCUGAUUAGCGAGAGAACCAGAGAAGACUACAGAAUUUUGGCAAAGUUACACACCAAUUCAAUAUUAAUUUUAGUGACCUCCGGUUCAUGUAACCGAGUAUCAUUACUGCUGACGUGAAUUACUGUUUGGCAGAAUUUAUGCUUCUCUUUAGCCAGCAGCUUCAGCAGUGCUUCAGUAUAACUUGGCCUCUGCAAGACGUUACACCAUAGUUGUUGAGAUAUCUCGCUUUCUAGCUGAAUGAAUACUGUGAAUAUAAUUAGCGGAUAAUUCAACAGAGAGUGUGCUUUUGAUAAAGCACACGAAGAUUACAAUAUGAAAUAAGACAUUUUCUAAAAGCUUUUAAUGAAAUGGGCUAUACAAAAAAGCUACACAAACACACCACUGUGUAUUGUAACAGAAACAGGAAGUGAUACUGUACCACAAAGAGUGCCAACACCAAGUGAAAGCAUUCAUAUAGAAAUGUGAAAAUGUUUUUUGUUUCAAAUCGGAUUUCUCACACUGCAAACACAUUUGUGGCACAUUCUUUUGCAAUAUGCAUAGUGUGGACUGUGCACUAGCCACGAUUAUAGAAUCAGCUGUUAGAUGUUUUCACUAGUCUAUGACACACUUAUAUGAGCUUAACCACCAUAAAAUAAAAUAGUACAACUUUAUUUGAGCUUAUCUUCUAUAUUUUAUUACAUUUAUUCAUUUAUUUAUUUGCACAUUUUCACAGAUUCAUUUAUUUACAGGAUGCUUUGAGUGCAGUAUCGAUUCUCUCCUGUUGAAUGCAUUGUGCAACUUGUUAAACCGUAUCUUACUAAUGUCACAAAUGGCAUCCAGCACUUUUGAGGUAAACUCAUGCACAAUAAACAAAACGUAAACAUACUUUAAUUAAGUUUGAACAGAGCUGUCUGAUAAGCCUCUCUCUGCUUUAGAGAGUUAGUGGGGGUUCCAUGGAAAAUCAGUAAAUACCUCCCACAUCAACUGGUGAUAAACAUCUCCUUUAUGAAGCUCAACAAAUUUGUUGAAACCCCCCAAACUAAC